rnacentral:rRNA from 1 species
AUUGAACGCUGGCGGCAGGCCUAACACAUGCAAGUCGAGCGGAUGAAGGGAGCUUGCUCCUGGAUUCAGCGGCGGACGGGUGAGUAAUGCCUAGGAAUCUGCCUGGUAGUGGGGGAUAACGUCCGGAAACGGGCGCUAAUACCGCAUACGUCCUGAGGGAGAAAGUGGGGGAUCUUCGGACCUCACGCUAUCAGAUGAGCCUAGGUCGGAUUAGCUAGUUGGUGGGGUAAAGGCCUACCAAGGCGACGAUCCGUAACUGGUCUGAGAGGAUGAUCAGUCACACUGGAACUGAGACACGGUCCAGACUCCUACGGGAGGCAGCAGUGGGGAAUAUUGGACAAUGGGCGAAAGCCUGAUCCAGCCAUGCAGCGUGUGUGAAGAAGGUCUUCGGAUUGUAAAGCACUUUAAGUUGGGAGGAAGGGCAGUAAGUUAAUACCUUGCUGUUUUGACGUUACCAACAGAAUAAGCACCGGCUAACUUCGUG